rnacentral:tRNA from 1 species
GGAGACGUGGCAGAGCUGGUUUAAUGCACCUGACUUGAAAUCAGACGAGGGCGCAAGUCCUCCCGGGGUUCGAAUCCCUGCGUCUCCGCCA